AACAACAAGGAGGAACAUUUGAAUCUGGCCAUUAGACUAAGAGUGGAAAAAACUCCAGCAGUAGGUGGACAUGACCUUGUGGUUGGCGAAGACAACAAGCAGACUGAAGAGGCUGAUGUGGAGUCGUUUAACACCAGCAAAGCUGUUGACAUGCCAACUCAGGAAAUGCAGACUGACCAUGAAAAGGAGAUAUGUGACGAUGAUCUGGAUGAAAUCAGUGCUGCAGCUGCACAGAACGUAGAGAUGGCAGAAGGAGACGCACUGUGACAGCAGCAAUGAAGUCGACUGGCACAAAGAAUGGGCAGGUGACACUGAACCAUGUCAGCAGCAGUAGUGGAGGGAAUCCCUGUCCCUACAGGAACUGUGCACAGCCCUGCAAAGCAUGAAAGGGAGGAGAGCUCCUGGUCUAGAUCGACUGCCUGUUGAGUUUUUCAAGGCUUUUUGGGCUGAACUAGGCCAAGAUUUAUUACGUGUGUUGAAUGAAAGUAUUGCUACACUGCAAAAUGAUGACACUUUUUUGUGAACUAAAAUACUGCUAAAAUAAACUGGGCAAUAAGUGAGGCUUUGGCUGUUGGAAGAUGGAAGAGGGGCCUUCCCAGCCUCCCCAGGGGUCUCACUUGGAAGAAAG